UAGACAACUUACCUUUAAUUGGUCAAGAGAGAUUCCGAGGGAGCAGAGGGAUGAAGUUUUCCACAGACUGACUGGAGCCAACUGUGGAGACAGAGAUUCUAAGCUGAAUGAAGUGGGAACCUAGUGAUACCUAGGCACUCAGACCAAUGGAAUCUACAGAAGAAAGGAUCUUUCUCUACUGGAACAACAAAUAUGGUUUGUGAAUCGGUUUUGAAUCUUGGACAGACCUGAGGGUUGAAGCAGUUCACCAGCAUCUUUCAGUGUAUCAUCUGACUAGGUGCCAACAGCACAGUACCUCCAGGA